ensembl:lncRNA
CCUAGCUACAGCCAAAUCCGCCCCAGAGGCAGAGCGUCGACCACGCCUCUCAACAAAUCAUUGCUUAGUAACGCUAGUAAUCAUCAAAAUCGAGUCGGUGCGGAUAGUUGCUCGUGGACUUCUUUGUUCACGUUCCCUUAACGCCCGUCUCCUGUCAGGAAACAGACGAGUACAGACGGUCUGCUGCUUCUACCCAAGGCCAAAGGACAAUAAUUGAGUUCCAGAAAAGUUGUCUUUUGAGGAGAUACCAGAGGAGCAGGUGAAGAUCUUCCACACCCUUCUGAAAAAGCCAGCAACACCUAGCUUCAUUUUUUUCUUGUUCUGCACAUCUCUCGUCUGAGAAGAAAACCCAACAUCUUUGUUUAUCCAUGUAGCGCCUUUGGGCGCUUUGGGUUAGAAUACAGGGACAGGGUCAAAGGCCAUUCCAUCUUACUGACCUCUGAGUUGACCUCAUCAGGCUAUAAAAAAACAAGCAGUCUAGACUAAGAAUGACCCAUAUAGACAAAGGGAAUGUUAAGGGAAUGUUCUUAGUUUGUUUAAAUGUAAUUAUAAUACACCUAAACUGCACAUUUGUGUACAUUAGCAUAUUUUAAUGUACUGUUCACAGGCACUAUUAGACUUAUAUAUAUAAUAUUUAAUAUUUCUUUCAUA